ACCAGCUGCUUCCUGCCUGCGGGUGUCAUGUGACCAGCUGUCUCAGGCUCUUGCUGCUGUGCCUUCACUGUUUCGAGGGACUGUAUCUUCGAACGGUGGGAAAGCUGUGCUCUGGCCCCACAACAGAACCUGCAGGUGCUGCUGUUGGAAACUCCAGCUACCUCACCCAUCCGCACCCCCAGUAUCCCAGACACGCCAAGAAGUCCCCUUGCAGGCAUCGACAAUCCAGGUAUUCCCAGCCAUGAGCUCCAGGCUGCCUCUGUGAGGUGCCAGCGCUUGUCACCUGCCGCAGGCUGGCCCCCACGGGCCACAGCCUGCAGGUGUUGAUGUGUCCCUCAGCUGGAAGCCGGUGGCCAGCUUUCUGGUGGCAGGAAAGGGGCCUUGUCUCUCCUUAGGACUCUGGUCAUCAUCGCUCAGAGCCAGCUUCCCUGCCUGUGUCUCUGAACACACAGUGGCUCACCCAGAACGUCUGAGAAGUAAAGAAUAAGCUGAAGGCGGGAGAUGAGAGGUGCCACGCCCCGUCCAUCUGCAGAGAGCAGGAAGGGCCCUCAUGUGCUUCACUGUGAACCUGCAACCAGAGGGGUGGGGUUGCCUAGGGUCUCGGGGAACCCAGCUUUACUUCUCCUGGGCAUAUACGUAAAAGAGCCUGCACUCCCACGGAGAUACCCACACACUUGUGUUUAUUCCUGCACCAGUCACGACAUCCAGGAAACGAAGACCACUUCGAUGCCCGUCAACAGGUGAAUGAGGGAUAUAAGAGCGGUAACAUACACAAACGGAAUAGUAUUCAGCCAUAAGGAAGGAUGAAGUCACGACAUUUGUAGGAAAACUGUUGUAACCAAGAGCCAUUGUUAAGUGAAGAAUUUCAGACUAACGAAGAUGAGGACUUCCUCUCACGUGAGAAGCCUAUAUGUGCAUAUAUACAUAUAUCAUAACAUACUAUAAUAGAUGUAAUAAUAUAAUAUAUAUUCUUGGAGAUGGCAUUCCCUCAGAUACCAAUGGUUGGUAUAUAGAUAGAUGUCUGGCUGGGUGACCAGGCAUGGUUUAUUGUCACUAGGAGGUUGUCUAUGCCCCUCAAUGACAGAGAAGGUGGUGUGUGCACCCCUGGAGACCAUGUUGCUUCUGCUGGCACACGGAUGCAGCUGUGUGGACUGCUGAGAUAAUGCGUGGUGGCAGCUUUCCCCAUUCCUAGAAUGACAGAAGGGUUUCUCUGUGUAGCUUUGGAGGCUGUCCUGGAACUCACUCUGUAGAACAGGCCGGCCUCAAACUCACAGAGAUCUGCCUGCCUCUGCCUCCCGAGUGCUGGGACUAAAGGCGUGCGCCACCAAUGCCUGGCUGACAGAGUUCUUAAAUGAUGGUAUUUACACUUUUUAAGAUGGGGCUUCUCUUCUAGAAGCAUUUUAGAUACUCAUGGAAGCUGGGGCACUGUAAGGACAGUGGAUUGUAAGGACCGAGAGGCCCUCACACCCUGCCAGCUCCUCUGCUGCCCACACACAUUGCCCUAGUGCCUUACGCUGCAGAAAGACAGCACCGGGGAAGUCCCAGACUGCCUUGGAACCCUUCUCCGUGCAAUCCAAAUCCCAUUCGAAUCCCAGGAAGAGCUAAAAAUAACUGUAUCCAAUGGCAAGAUGGUGUCUCUGAAGACACCAUCAUCAUCAGGCUGGCUCUGCCCGCCUGCCUUGCCUCUUAAUUACUGGUGCUACCUACAGCUAGCUAUUCAGGCUUUGGAAACAUUGCAGUUGGAGAAAAUGUAUGGAUUUAGAAGUGUCUCUCCGCGUAUUUAUUUUUAGUUGUUGCACUUAAUUCAAGAAAUACUACCCCCCAAAAAAAAACAGGCACAAUAUGUUGCACAAUAUGUAACUUAAGAAAGCAUUCCCUGAAUUCUGACUGUGGCCUUAUUUGCCUAGCACUGCAUGGAGACCUUGGGAAAGCACCUAGAGGCCCUUGAGUGGGGUCUCCUCUAUAGGCAGCUGGGCCUUGCUGGCUUGAGAUUUCUAAAGUUCCCUGAGAGCCCCCUCCCCACCCCAGCAGAGGCAGCUGGGACUGACAGAGCCUUCCCACAGGGACCCAGGGCACUUUCCCGAGUCACUGAGGUCACAGCACCCAGGUGGACCUUACAUCAGCUGCUGAUCCUCUGUGUGUCAUCUCCCCCACCCUUGCGAGGGGACACCUACAUCAUUGUGGACAGGAAAGCUGCAGGGGGGAGAGAGGGGACAGCGCUAGUGCACGUGCAGCGCACACAGGCACUGAUUGGGUUUCUCUGACUUACUGAGUUAGUCAAAUGGAGGCUUCAUCUCUUUGCAAGGGUGGAAGAAAAAUAAUAAUAAAAGAUUCAGCGUAAUGUGAUCAAA